GAAAUGAAGUAUACAAAGAAUUGCCAGAUUUUAGCUGAUUUUAGGAAAUUAAGUUCAAUCAACAUGAAGCAUACAUGGCAUAAUCAUAUUAAAGUCCAUUUACAUGUAGACAUAUACUGCAAAAUAUUCUCAGUUUAUGAUAAAUAUGAUCAAUUCCUUAUUUUUUUAUAUUUCAACAUUGUUGAACUACAAAUGUACCAGGACUAAAUUGAUGUUUAUGUAGAAAAUGUUAUGCUGUCUUGAGUUUUUAUAUAUUUUUUGUAUAUAUACUCGGAUUAAAUGCAAGUAUGAGUGUGUUUAAUUGAUGUUUAUGUAGAUUUUGAUUUAAUAUAUUGUUGAAAACCAUAAAUCAUAAUUGUUUUAACCAAUUUUUUUAGUCAAAGGUAGGGGGACACCAAACCAGACAACGUAUAAGUUUUGGAAGGAAACAUAUCAACACAAAAGAGGGGUGGGGGUCUACAUCAAGGAGCUGCUGGUAAGGGUAACUUUUUAUGGAAUGUCAAAGCGGUUCAAUAUUGUUUAUUUAACAAUGGAUAGAAGUCAAGAAUCUUGACUCAAUGGGUCAAAUAGUAUGAAUGAUCCCAUGAAAUUAACAUUUAAAGAUGAUGUCAUGAUAGCUGGCCAUGGGAAAUAUAAAUUGGUUGUAAUUUUCUCAGAAAUCCCAAUUUAAUUUGCUUAUAGUUAUGCUCUUGCAAACCAGUUCUCAUAUAAAUAUAAAAUGAUAAACAGUUUAUUAUUAGGUUUGUGUUACCAUGGUUACAGAACGUCUUAAGAGUUACAUGUACAAAUGUGUUAUAAAAUCAUUCAUUAUAAACAGUUAGACAACGGAAUAUUUUUUUGUAGAACAUUGUCAGAAUCAUUG
rnacentral:lncRNA from 1 species